rnacentral:rRNA from 1 species
AUUGAACGCUGGCGGCAGGCCUAACACAUGCAAGUCGAACGAGUGGCGGACGGGUGAGUAAUGUCUGGGAAACUGCCUGAUGGAGGGGGAUACCUACUGGAAACGGUAGCUAAUACCGCAUACCAUCAGCUGUGCCCAGAUGGGCUUAGCUAGUUGGUGGGGUAACGGCGCACCUAGGCGACGAUCCCUAGCUGGUCUGAGAGGAUGACCAGCGACACGGGAGCUUGGACGCGGUCCAUACGCCUACGGGAGGGAGCAGUGGGGAAUAUUGCACAAUGGGCGCGAACCUGAGACAGCCAGGCGGCGUGUAUGGAGAAGGCGUUCGGGUUGUAAAGUCCUUUCAGCGGGGAGACGUUACACGCAGAAGAAGCACCGGCGAACUCCGUGCCAGCAGCCGCGGUAAUAC